rnacentral:rRNA from 1 species
CCCCUAGAUGUUCUGGGCCGCACGCGCGCUACACUGAACAGUUCAACAAGUCUUAACCUUGGCCGAUAGGUCUGGGUAAUCUUUGAACGCUGUUCGUGAUUGGGAUAGACCUUUGCAAUUAUGGGUCUUCAACGAGGAAUUCCUAGUAAACGCAAGUCAUCAGCUUGCAUUGAUUACGUCCCUGCCCUGUGUACACACCGCCCGUCGCACCUACCGAUUGAAUGGUCCGGUGAAAUCUCGGGACGGCGGCUUGGUCGCUUGCGUCCGACUGCUGAAACUUGAUUAAACCAUAUCAUUUAGAGGAAGGUGAAGUCGUAACA